rnacentral:rRNA from 1 species
UGAAUACGAGAUGCUACGGCGUCGAAGCAGUCUAUGUCAUACUUCCAAGAAAAGCUUGCACUGUCAUAAACAAAUAAUGCCUGUACCAUAACCGACACAGGUGGGUAGGUAGAGUAUACUAAGGGGCGCGAGAUAACUCUCUCUAAGGAACUCGGCAAAAUGACUCCGUAACUUCGGGAGAAGGAGUGCCUUAUUUAUAAGGUUGCAAUAACAAGACCCAAGCAACUGUUUACCAAAGACACAGGUCUCCGCUAAGUCGUAAGACGAUGUAUGGGGGCUGACGCCUGCCCAGUGCCAGAAGGUUAAAGAAGUUGGUUAGCAUCCGCGAAGCUGAUAACUGAAGCCCUGGUGAACGGCGGCCGUAACAAUAACGGUCCUAAGGUAGCGAAAUUCCUUGUCGGGUAAGUUCCGACCCGCACGAAAGGCGUAAUGAUUUGGAUACUGUCUCGGAGAGGGGCUCGGUGAAAUAGACUUGUCUGUGAAGAUGCGGACUACCUGCACCAGGACAGAAAGACCCUAUGAAGCUUUACUGUAACCUGAAAUUGAAAUUGGACUUUACUUGCGCAGUAUAGGUGGGAGGCUUUGAGAAUAUUCUUGCGGGAUUAUUGGAGCCAUCAGUGAGAUACCACUCUUGUAAUGUUAGAUUUCUAACUUUGUAUCAUUAUCUGGUCAAAGAACAGUUUCAGGCGGGCAGUUUGACUGGGGCGGUCGCCUCCUAAACGGUAACGGAGGCGCACAAAGGUUUCCUCUGAACGGGUAGAAAUCGUAUCUAGAGUGUAAAGGCAUAAGGAAGCUUGACUGUGAGACCUACAAGUCGAGCAGGGACGAAAGUCGGUCUUAGUGAUCUGACGGUGCUGAGUGGAAAGGCCGUCACUCAACGGAUAAAAGUUACUCUAGGAUAACAGGCUGAUCUCCCCCAAGAGUUCACAUCGACGGGGAGGUUUGGCACCUCGAUGUCGGCUCAUCGCAUCCUGGGGCGGUAGUACGUCCCAAGGGUUGGGCUGUUCGCCCAUGAAAGCGGUACGCGAGCUGGGUUCAGAACGUCGCGAGACAGUUCGGUCCAUAUCCGGUGUAGGCGUUAGAAUAUUGAGAGGAGCCUUCUUUAGUACGAGAGGACCGAGAAGGACAUACCUCUGGUGUACCAGUUAUCGUGCCAACGGUAAACGCUGGGUAGCUAUGUGUGGAGUGGAUAACCGCUGAAAGCAUCUAAGUGGGAAGCCCACCUCAAGAUAAGUAUUCUCA